UGGCUUGGUGGUUAAGUAUUUGGCUGCUAACCAAAAGGUCGGCAGUUUGACUCUACC
rnacentral:tRNA from 1 species